rnacentral:lncRNA from 1 species
GCUGAAGGAAUUUAUUGAGAGGAUACUGGGAAAUCACAGACUCAAAGGAAAACGUGAAAAAUCAGGACAUGGGAAGGACAGAACCAGGCCAGCUCUGGGGCUCUGGGUAGCAGGACAUUUUGAAUUGUCUUUUGAAGAAACCCUCAUGAGAGCCUCUGCUUUAACAACCUACAGCCCCCCAGGUGUCUCCACUCAAGAUGCAAAUUUCCAGGAGAGGAUCUGAUUAGUGAGCUGGGUCCAAAGCCUACCUCCUAACCAGGGUGGGGUUCUGUGAUUGACAGCUCACCCUAAUCACCCCAAGUCCGGAAGGGCCAUUUCCCCGGAUGAAGGGCUGCUGAGCAGACAAAUACAAACACAAACAGCAAACAAACACCAAAAAACCAAACCAGAUGUCCGCUACAAAGGUUUUCUUUAACAGCAACCUCCAACCUCCACUAAUAUAUUUGAAACAUGAUUCAAUUUUCCAAAGUUCAGUUUAUACACGACUCUUUGUGUAACUAAUCAAAUUUCUCUUUUCAUAGCAGCUGCUGGAAAGCUUAGGGCCAAACUGUGUUUUCCCCAUAGCAACCAUGUUGGAUUUUGACGGUGUCCAUCUUGUCUUUGCCCCUCUCCUGGUUCUAUCGUGUAUUUUUGAUGUUCCUUUUUCUUUCUCUCUAAUUUGUCAGCUUGGUGAUGCUGUGGCUUUUGUUUUCUGUUUUUCUUCCUUCCCUGGAAUGAGGCAGACUAUAAGUGAGCAGAUCAUCUGUGACUCUUUAGGAAUGUGUUAUGGUGUAAAGCAGAGUUCAUCAGCACUGCGAGUUUUCCCAUUGGAAGGGCUCAUAGUCUGGAAGCCAACAGUUACAAAGACAUCGUGGCACGGUAUCCCUGGAGUUCUCCACUUUUAAAGCUUUCCCAGAGUCAUGAGAUGCAAACAAGUUGUCUCAAACUUUUACUGCAUAGCACUCCUGUGUUUAGGGGAAUGCGACCUGACCUUUGGUGAAACAGGCCAGUUUCAUGUGAGAAGGAGAGCAAGAACAAAGAGAAGUUGGCUGAAGCAGCUCGGGGCAGGGCCCUCCUCCAGGGUUAUUUUCCAUGUGACCUCAGCUGAGCUCUCUCUCUCUCUCUGGAGAGACUGCCUGGCCUGGGAGCACCAAGGAAAAUUUGGCAGUGCCUGAGGGAGUUAAAGAGCAGCCAGCAGCAGCAGGUGCCAGGAAUGGGCCGGAAAACUCUGGUGAACUUGCCAGAGUCACAUAGCAGCUUCAGUUUGGGUUUGGAGAGGCAAGGCUGGGGUUGGAGAGAAAGAUGGGAGGUCCGCUUGCUGCCCUCAAAAGAACCCCAGCUCCAUCCUCCAAGCUCCGUGAUAAGCUGGCUUUUCCUGCCUGAGCUCAGAGGCUAGGGGAGCUGGAGGGUGGUGUUCUCAUCAAGGAUCUCUUGCUUGCGAAGAUCAGAAGCCCACUCAGGAGCUCAAACAGAAGACAAUUGUUUGUAAGGCUAUAACAGGCAGUCCCGCAGAUAUUCAGUGAGGGAUCACAAGCCUCUUCGGGGCUGGGACAGAAGAUUCAGCAACUGUGCCAAUCCUCUCCAGCCCUCAGGGGUCCUCAGAGAGCUCUCUUACUUUGGCUUCUCUCUGCUCACUCUUCUUGCAUGUGGCCCAACAAGAUGGCAGCCUCAACUGUACAAGCAGCCCCAACCAGCUCUCUGAGAACACACAGUUCACUGUCUCUGUGUCCUUGUUCAAACUCCCUGAUGGGGCCAGCUCGUCUAUUCAUACUGAGCAUGUGGACUGACUACGCCUACCCCUUGUCCAGCCAGCCAUGGCCAGGAGGAACAGGUCUUCUGGAAGGGCUCAGUAAAUGUUAACUUCCCUGGAGGGUGUCGAUGCUGGCUUUUCCUCUAGUCGAAGAGCCACUGAGAGGACCCUCAAGACCCUUAGGGCCCAGAAGGGCUCUUGUCAGCUGUGGAAGGAAUUCCUGCACCCCAGGGCCACUAAGCCCAAUGACUCUGAGGACAGUGAGGUGUGUUCUGGUUGCUGCAGGACAGCAACGCCUGUGACUUCCGAUGAAAUACUCACUUUUUGCAGGUUGACACCUAUAUCCUUUCGCUUAGAGAACUCCUCAGAGUGUCACUCUCUUGCGAUAAAGCUAUCCAAGUUCAAGCUAUCCAAGUUCAAGGAGCCGUUUGAGGUUAUUCAAAACUGACCUCACCAUCAAAGUCCUACUUCGAGAUGCAAAAAGUUAUCUACCAGCCGGUUUUACACCCCCUUGGGCACAACAGGCUUGAGGGCACCCUCCCUGCUUUUGCUCAGGCUGUUCCCCUGGAAUGCCCCGAGAGGUGACCCUCCCCAGUCACUACCUGAUUGAAUUCUCCCCUUCCCUAAAGCCUUACCCCAAACCCACCUCCAGGAAGGCCUCCCUGGCUCCACUGAGGCAGCGCCUACCCUCUCCUCCCCUUCUCCCGCCUCCUCAGCGAUGUCUUGGUACACACCACAUCUGAGCACCUCCAAGUUGCUUGUGCCUGUGUUCUUCUCUCUAGCCUGGCUGUUGCAUGAGGGCAUCUCUAUGUCCCCAUUAGAGCUAGGCUAGGGCCUGGCUCAGAGUAGAUGGGGCUGACGUGUGGGCUGCCACCAGAGAGCUCAAUUCUGGUCACACAGAAGCACUUUUGACCUUUCCAACAGCCCCUGGAACUGACCAGGCUCCAGUGGCCCCUAGGUCACCCUGACCCUUCCAGACCUCUCUGCCAGCCAUGGAAUCUCCGCCUCCCUAAAGACCUUAGCCCCAUUCUCACUCCUCCAUCUCACAAUGGCCACUUCUGUUACGGAGGGACCAUUGCCCUCCAUGGUGCACUUUCAGAACAGACAGAGCCUUCACACGGACACCCUUAGGGGUCACAGCAUUCCUGCAGGACAGACUGUCCUACCCACUGCAGCUCUGCAGGAGACGGGCCCCCAACCCUGGGGUCCUAGAGUGCCCUCUCCCCAACACACACUUCUCUCCUCUCCCCUGAAAAAUAAGGGCCAGUGGUUUCAGCUCCCAGGCUUGCCAUCUUUCUAAUCCGAGGAAACCAAACUACUUUUUGUCUCCCUGCGAGGCCAGGCCAGUGGUCAGGAUGGACGGGAGGCAGAGCAGAGAGAGGGAGGUGUGCCAGUAAGUGGAGAGCUGAGGCCCUGGACUGCUCUCCCACAGGAAACCACUGACUGGAAACUCUGAGGUGCUCACAGGCAGCUCCCAGCUGCAGGGCUCAGCGCAUUAUCGUGUGAAUCCCAAAGCACCUCAAAGCUGGCUGGCAAGACCUUCCAGGGGGAGGGACCGGCUUGAGCAGAGGCACCGAGGGGCCUGGGCAGCCUAGUGUGGCAAGGCCUGUGGUGCCACGGAGGAAUAAAACUGGUUGGUGGAUAACAUUCAGCAUCUUGACGCACUUGAUGUUGAGUUUCCAAUAACCCAAAAUGGUUCCUUGAGCUUGAACAGCUUCUAUCUUGACACUCUCGGGAAAGCAGUUCCUGUUGGGGAGGGCAUUAUCCUGGAGGGCGGUGGUGGGGUCUUUGUGCUCCAUCCUGUGCUGUCUCACUACUGAAGGUGGAACCUGCCUGCUCACCUCUCAGAACGUGCUGAGCAUCAGAGGGGCGGCAUCGUGUGACACGGUUGGUAUAUCUACUUUGCAGAUGGCUCGUCAUUAGCACGUGGGUUACAGUCACACCCAGUCAUGAGAAGCCUCCUGAUUUUGCACAAAGUAGGUGUAGACUCUUUCGUCCAGGAAUUUAAGAGAUUGUGUAAUUUUUCUUGGUUUUGUCUGCAACGCUUUUUUUUUUCCUCUGUGACUCAGUAUUUGGAUGGCUCUCCCUGAGGGAAGCCAUGAGGGUGAGAUGUAAGAAUCCAGGGCUGGUGCUGGGCUCAGGAUAGGGGAGCUGCCCCCAACACCCAUGGGAGCCAGAGGCCUGCACCCAGGACUCGCCCACAUGUCCCUCAGGGGCAAACUGCAGCACAUGCCCUCUUUCCCUCGGGGAGACUUGGAAGAAGAAAGGUCUGGCUCCCCAACAUCAGGCCCAGAGCUCCCUCCUCUGUGAACCCUGCAUAGCCAGGAGCGGGGAGAAAGGAGAGGGAAUGCUCUGGCAAUCUGCUGUCUUGUCCCUUCCCCUCAAGGAGCUGUUGUGGUGAGCAGCUGUCCUCUCAGCCUUCUCCUGGGAAACUCUCCAUCUCGCCCGUGAGCCCGAGGCUGGGUGGGCUUGGGGUCAACCUCUGCAUCUGCGUGUUUUCUUCUCUUAGCAGUUGAUUCCUUCUCUCCCUCUUGGCUUAUUUUUUCCUUCUGUUGCUUCAGGCUUCUUCUAGGUCAGCAGCCGUCUGUCCUCUUUCACCCAUUCCUCAUGCCAACUCAAACCAGCCUCUCGCCCCUUUGCACUUCUUGUCACAUCUUCAUGUGAUUUUACCAGCAAAUCUCUCUCCUUUCUUCUCUCUGACCUGGGCCUUCCCUCCCCCUCGUCGCUCUCCCUUUUUUCCUUCUCUCCUUCCCCCCUUCCCUCUCCUCCCUGCUCCUGCUCCUUCCAAGA